AGAACGAACGCUGGCGGCAUGCCUAAUACAUGCAAGUCGAACGAACUCUUCGGAGUUAGUGGCGCACGGGUGCGUAACGCGUGGGAAUCUGCCCCUUGGUUCGGAAUAACAGUUGGAAACGACUGCUAAUACCGGAUGAUGACGAAAGUCCAAAGAUUUAUCGCCAAGGGAUGAGCCCGCGUAGGAUUAGCUAGUUGGUGAGGUAAAGGCUCACCAAGGCAACGAUCCUUAGCUGGUCUGAGAGGAUGAUCAGCCACACUGGGACUGAGACACGGCCCAGACUCCUACGGGAGGCAGCAGUAGGGAAUAUUGGACAAUGGGCGAAAGCCUGAUCCAGCAAUGCCGCGUGAGUGA
rnacentral:rRNA from 1 species